UUUGUUAUUCUUAACAAUACAGAGAAUGACAUUAAGAUUUUGAUAUUUCGAUUAAACUUUGAGAUCACAGAAACAGGCUUAAGGAACAAAGAUCACUGAACUGGGAACCAAGAUUCCUUCUAGUCCCGCAGCCCUGACACCAUUUUACCAUGCUUCAGUCUCCUUACCCAUGGCAUGGGAAUAGGACCUGUUUUAGCCCAACUUCUCUACCUCUUUCCCCCUUAUUCCCACAUUUUGGGAUCUUGUCUUUCCCAUCCUCCUGUUUUAUAGACUAGAGUACAAGUACUCCAAGCUGGUGAUGAAUGCUACCCUCAAGGACUGUGACCUGCCAGCAGCUGACAGCUGUGCCAUCAUGGAAGGCGAGGAUGUGGAAGACGACCUCAUAUUUACCAGCAAGAAGUCACUCUUUGGGAAGAUCAAAUCAUUUACCUCCAAGAGGACUCCUGAUGGAUUUGACUCAGUGCCGCUGAAGACAUCCUCAGGAGGCCCAGACAUGGACCUGUGAGAGGCACUGCCUGCCUCACCUGCCUCCUCACCUUGCAUAGCACCUUUGCAAGCCUGCGGCGAUUUGGGUGCCAGCAUCCUGCAACACCCACUGCUGGAAAUCUCUUCAUUGUGGCCUUAUCAGAUGUUUGAAUUUCAGAUCUUUUUUUUAUAGAGUACCCAAACCCUCCUUUCUGCUUGCCUCAAACCUGCCAAAUAUACCCACACUUUGUUUGUAAAUUA